CAAAUAAUAAAGAGUCUCUUGUGUCCCCAACACACCCAAUACAAUGGUAAAUUGUAUAGGUGCACUAGUUCGGCGAAGAGAUGGUGAUACACAUGCAAUAUGGAUGAUAGAUAUGAGUAUUUGUAAUCUGAAAAUAUAAAAACAGCAAUGUAACUAAUGAUAAAAGUGAGCGUAAACGGUAUUGCAAUGCUAGGAAACAAGGCCUAGGGUUCAUACUUUCACUAGUGCAGGUUGUGACGCCCCCAUUUCGACCGUACACUAAUCAUACACGCAAAUGUGUAUGAUCAAGAUCAGGGACUCACGGGAAGAUAUCACAACACAACUCUAGACACAAAUCAAAAUAAUACAAGCUUUAUAUUACAAGUCAGGGGCCUUGAGGGCUCGAAUACAAAUGAGUCAGCGAAAGCAACAUUAUCUGAGUACAGACAUGAGUUAAACAAGUUUGCCUUAAGAAGGCUAGCACAAAAGCAACAUCGAUCGAAAAGGCAAGGCCUCCUGCCUGGGAGCCUCCUAAUUACUCAUGGUCGUCGACGGCCUCCACGUAGUAGUAGGCACCCUCGGUGUAGUAGUAAUCGUCGGUGGUGUGGCCUGGCUCCUAAGCUCCACCAUCUGGUUGUGACAUCCGAAAAUAAAGGAAAAGGAAAAAAAAGAGGGAGCAAAGCAACCGUGAGUACUCAUCCAAAGUACUCGCAAGCAAGGAUCUACACUACAUAUGCAUCGGUGUCAAUGAAAUGGGUAGUAUAUGUGGACUGAACUGCAGAAUGCCAGAAGAGAAGGGGAAAGCCUAGCCUAUCGAAGACUAGCAUCUUCAAGCAGCUCCAAGCAUCUUGCAGCAUCAUAAGAGAUAAGAGUAGCAUAAAGUAAAGUAGUAGUUGUGUUAUCAACCUCGGCCAAAGAUCCUUUCUCGACUCCCUGUGAGAAAGCAAUCCCAGAGCCAUACUAUUCAUUUCUCCUAUCCAUGUCUCAUCUCAAGUAUCCAGUUCUAGUUGUAUCGAUCAGGGUACAACUCCGAGUGUCCGUUACCAUAGGACAGGCUAUCGAUAGAUGUUUUCUUCCCUGCAGGGGUGCACCAACUUACCCACCACGCUCGAUUAACUCCGGCCAGACACACUUUCCUGGGUCAUGCCCGACCUCGGCCAAACAAUAUGCCGCAACCCGACCUAGGCUUAAUAGAGAGGUCAAGCACGCCAUACUAAACCUAUGCCCCCAGGGGUCUUGGGCCAUCGCCCCGGGAACUCCUGCACGUUGCGUGGGCGGCCGGUGAGCAAACCUAGCUACCUCCUUCAAAAACGCAGGUACUUACCAGUCCAACCCGGCGCGCGCCGCUCAGUCAUUGACGUCUAAUAAGCUUCGGCUGAUGCAUACGACGCAGAACGCCCAUACUAUGCCCACGUGAUGGUUAGCGCUAUCAGGCCAGAGGCCCCUCGGAUCAAAUAUCCAAAACGUAGUGGAUUAGGAGCACACGGUAACGAGCAGAGACUCAUGAUCGAUGUGACCCCAUCGCCCCGUCUCGAGGACUUGCGGCAAGGGCUAAGAAUGCCCGGCCACGCCUCGUAAGUAUCUCGCGGGCACCUUCCAGGUUAACCCGACUCCACAUCAGUCGCAACUAAGCUCACGCGGGUACCCCUCUGGGCCGACCCGUCUUUAGUAACAUGGUUUAGUGUAAAGUCAUAAUAACCAUAGUAAAUGUGCGUCUAACACCAAGGGGAACCCUGAGGAACCACCCUCGGUGGAUUCCACUUAAUGUAAUCAUCAAGGUGAACGUAAGAGGAACCACCCUCGAGGUUCACACUUGAGGGGUUGCACGACAGAGUCGUAUCAGAGUGGUUAAGGAGGAAAUCACCCUUGAUGACCACGACUGAAUAGCUACACUACAGAUAUCUCAUAAGGAGUGAUGUAUGAGGUGUCACCCUCGGCACUCGAUGGUAACUCUGCAGAGUCGUAUAACUAGGGGGGUGAUGUGCGGUGUCGGGGCCUGGACGUCGAUCACGUUGAUCGAGUCAUCAAACAUAAAGCGGGGCAACUGGGACAAGGUGGGGGUCACUGAUGGAUCACUAACCAAUCUAUACUAAGCAGUUUAGGAUAAGCAGGUAAGGUACAAUGAGCAGGUUACAAAAGCAGGCUAUGCAUCAGAAUAGGAGCAAACAAUAACAGUAGCAAAAUCUAGUGCAAGCAUCAGAGAAUGGAAUGGGUGAUAUCGGGAUGAUCAAAGGGGGCUUGCCUGGUUGCUCAGACGAGGAGGGGUCGUCGGUGACGUAGUCAAUCACAGCGGCAUCGGCAGCCAUCACGGGGUCUAGGAAAAAGCGGUAGGCGUAAGCGAGGCAUUUGGUCUUCGCCUAGUGCCUAGGCGGUGCCUAAGCGCGCUAGGCGCGGCCUAGGCGGUAAUAUAGUUUUUACUUGUAGUGUAUUUGUGAUUAUUAUAUGGGUGCUUAUAUUAGUUUAGGGCAUAUAAAUAAGUUAGUUACCGUCUACUGCCUUUGCAUAUAACCCAUUUGGCACAUCAAUGUAAUAUGUGGCAUGAUUUCUUGCAUGGGUAGGCAAUUCCUUACUUGCCCUGCCUAGACCUCCAUUUAUGCCCUAGGCGAGGCGUUUGGCCAUUGCCUAGCGCCUAGGCAUGCCUAAGCGCCUCCUAGGCACUGCCUUUUCCAACAGAGGGUCUACCGAAGAGAAGAGGGGGGAGAAACAGUAAAUACAUAGCAUGCAAGAGCAUAACAGGACAACAUGCAGAGCUAGGCGUAUUCUAACGUGGUGCUACACGCUACCGGCGAAGGGGGAUAACAUCCGGGAAUGCUUUCCCGAAGUUUGGCAUUUUCGGACAGACGAACCGGAGGGGAAAGGUUGCAUGACCUCUAUGAUAGGGACGUGCGGCGGAUGAACUGAACGCGUUUUCGAAUUUGUCUCGUCGUUCUGAGCAACUUUCAUGUAUAGCACUUUUUCAUCCGAGUUACGGAUUAAUUUAUAUUAUUUUUCAAUGAUUUACUAAUAUUCUAGAAUUUCUGGAAUUAUUAUGUUUAAUUAAUUCGAAUUGACCAAGUCAACUUGACUAGUCAAAAGGGCAGGUGUGGCCCACAUGUCAUAUACUAUUUACCUAAACAAAUAAAUAAACCUAACUUAUUAAAGGGGGCCUACAUGUCAUCUACUAGUAGACUAACUUAGAACUAAACUAGUACUACUAGUAAGCCUAGCCUAAUUAAACCAGGGGCUGGCCGGCGGCAUAGCUAGCCGUGUCUGUACUCACGCACGUACACACGACACACGCACAAGGCCAUAGCCAUGGCCAUGGCCACCACCAGCGCAGCCGCAUGAGCAAGUAGCAGCAGCAAUUAGAGUAGCAGCAGCACUAGCUAGUGGGAUAGGAGGAGCGGCAGCAACACUUAACAGCAGCGGCGCCGGCGCAACAGCAAGCAGUGACGGGAACAGGGCAUAGCAGCGGCCGGCAGCAGCAAACAGAGCAGCAGCAAGCCGAGGCCACGCAUGGGCGUGCACGCACAGCAGCAAGCCGUGACGAAGCCACGCAUGGGCGUGCACGCACAUCAGCAAUAGCGGCAGGGCAGGAGCAGCAACUAUGCGCACGCAUGUACACAUACACGGGGGUUCGGGCGAUGGCGAACAACGGCGUAAAGAGACACGGAUUGAAGCGGGAAAGGGGUGGAAUCGGCCGAGGAGCUCACCACUAAGCUCGUAGACGUGGAUUGGAGGCGCGGGGGCGACCGGAUGCGACGAGAUCGACGACGAGAGACGACGGCCGUGGCGGAAAAUCAGCUCGAUCCCGAGUGUAUAGUGCGGCUCCGGUCGAACGGAUGCACGGGGAUGACGGAGUCGGCGACUAGGAAGUUCCUGGACAAGCUCCCGGUCGCCGGGGAGGCCAGUGGCCACCGGGACGGCGACGGCGCAUCGACGGUAGCUCGGGCACGAGGUUCUCAGGAUAAACGUGAGUGGGAGAGGGGAAUUUUGCGGGCUAGGGUUUGUCUACAGCGACGAGGAGGCUCUUAUCCUUCUCGAUGUGUCAUGGAUGCUCGACACGAGCUAAUCGGGAAUGUGG
rnacentral:lncRNA from 1 species